rnacentral:rRNA from 1 species
GGGGAAUAUUGGACAAUGGGGGAAACCCUGAUCCAGCCAUGCCGCGUGGGUGAUGAAGGCCUUCGGGUUGUAAAGCCCUCUUGGCGGGGACGAUAAUGACGGUACCCGCAGAAUAAGCCCCGGCUAACUUCGUGCCAGCAGCCGCGGUAAUACGCAGGGGGCUAGCGUUGUUCGGAAUUACUGGGCGUAAAGCGCGCGUAGGCGGUUUUCCAAGUCGGGCGUGAAAGCCCCGGGCUCAACCCGGGAAAUGCGCUCGAAACUUGAAGACUGGAGGCCGGAAGAGGGUAGUGGAAUUCCCAGUGUAGAGGUGAAAUUCGUAGAUAUUGGGAAGAACACCAGUGGCGAAGGCGGCUACCUGGUCCGGAUCUGACGCUGAGGCGCGAAAGCGUGGGGAGCAAAC